GUGAUCUCCCUUAUCCACCAUCAUAUAUGCUGUGUGUUCUGGCUGCAUGUAGAGACCGCCCAGCAGUCUCUCCAGAUCUACAACCACUCUGCAGUCCAGGCUUUUAGCCUCUGUUGCAGCUCCUGUGCCUGCUGCUCAGCCUUGCGUGCAGCUUUGCGGG